rnacentral:rRNA from 1 species
GACGCACGCUGGCGGCAGGCCUCACACAUGCAAGUCGAACGAGUGGCGGACGGGUGAGUAAUGUCUGGGAAACUGCCUGAUGGAGGGGGAUAACUACUGGAAACGGUAGCUAAUACCGCAUACCAUCAGAUGUGCCCAGAUGGGAUUAGCUAGUAGGUGGGGUAACGGCUCACCUAGGCGACGAUCCCUAGCUGGUCUGAGAGGAUGACCAGCCACACUGGAACUGAGAAACGGUCCAGACUCCUACGGGAGGCAGCAGUGGGGAAUAUUGCACAAUGGGCGCAAGCCUGAUGCAGCCAUGCCGCGUGUAUGAAGAAGGCCUUCGGGUUGUAAAGUACUUUCAGCGGGGAGGCGUUACCCGCAGAAGAAGCACCGGCUAACUCCGUGCCAGCAGCCGCGGUAAUAC